rnacentral:piRNA from 1 species
UCAAAUCUAUUUUCUCCUGGCCUACAGAAU